rnacentral:rRNA from 1 species
AUUAACGCUAGCGGCAGGCAUAAUACAUGCAAGUUGAACGGCAGCACAGGUAGCAAUACCGGGUGGCGAGUGGCGCACGGGUGCGUAACACGUAUGCAACCUACCCUAUACAGGCGAAUAACCUUUAGAAAUGAGGGCUAAUACGCCAUGGUAUUAUCUUGGGGCAUCUUGAGAUAAUUAAAGAUUUAUCGGUAUAGGAUGGGCAUGCGUCCCAUUAGUUAGUUGGUAGGGUAACGGCCUACCAAGGCGAUGAUGGGUAGGGG